rnacentral:rRNA from 1 species
ACGGCUCGACCUACGGGUGGCAGCAGUGGGGAAUAUUGGACAAUGGGCGAAAGCCUGAUCCAGCAAUGCCGCGUGUGUGAAGAAGGCCUUCGGGUUGUAAAGCACUUUUAUCGGGAACGAAACAUUGUCGGUUAAUACCCGGCAAGACUGACGGUACCCGAGGAAUAAGCACCGGCUAACUCCGUGCCAGCAGCCGCGGUAAUACGGAGGGUGCAAGCGUUAAUCGGAAUUACUGGGCGUAAAGCGUGCGCAGGCGGUUUGUUAAGUCUGUUGUGAAAGCCCCGAGCUCAACUUGGGAAUUGCAGUGGAUACUGGCAGGCUGGAGUACGGUAGAGGAAGGUGGAAUUCCCGGUGUAGCAGUGAAAUGCGUAGAGAUCGGGAGGAACACCAGUGGCGAAGGCGGCCUUCUGGACCAGUACUGACGCUCAUGCACGAAAGCGUGGGGAGCAAACAGGAUUAGAUACCCGAGUAGUCC